AUCACAGAAAAACACACAUGGUAUGCACUCAUUGAUAAGUGGCUAUUAGCCCAAAUGCUUGAAUUACUCUAGAUGCCUAGAACACAUGAAACUCAAGACGGAUGAUCAAAAUGUGAAUGCUUCACUCCUUCUUUAAAAGGGGAACAAGAAUACCCUUGGCAGGGAAGAGAGAGGCAAAGAUUAAAACAGACACAGAAGGAACACCCAUUCAGAGCCUGCCCCACAUGUGGCCCAUACAUAUACAGCCACCCAAUUAGACAAGAUGGAUGAAGCAAAGAAGUGCAGGCUGACAGGAGCCGGAUGUAGAUCGCUCCUGAGAGACACAGCCAGAAUACAGCAAAUAUAGAGGCGAAUGCCAGCAGCAAACCACUGAAUUGAGAACAGGACCCCCGUUGAAGGAAUCAGAGAAAGAACUGGAAGAGCUUGAUGGGGGCUCGAGACCCCAUAUGUACAACAAUGCCAAGCAACCAGAGCUUCCAGGGACUAAGCCACUACCUAAAGACUAUACAUGGACUGACCCUGGACUCUGACCCCAUAGGUAGCAAUGAAUAUCCUAGUAAGAGCACCAGUGGAAGGGGAUGUUUGCCUGGAAACCGGGAAAGGGAAUAACACUCGAAAUGUAUAUAAGAAAUACUCAAGUU
rnacentral:lncRNA from 1 species